rnacentral:rRNA from 1 species
GCAAGUCGAGGGGUAACAGGAAAGCUUGCUUUCGCUGACGACCGGCGCACGGGUGCGUAACGCGUAUGCAACCUACCUCAUACUGGAGGAUAGCCCCUGGAAACGGGGAUUAAUACUCCAUAGUAUCACGAAUUCGCAUGUUUUUGUGAUUAAAGUUUUUCGGUAUGAGAUGGGCAUGCGUCCCAUUAGCUUGUUGGUGAGGUAACGGCUCACCAAGGCGACGAUAGAUAGGGGUUCUGAGAGGGGGAUC